rnacentral:rRNA from 1 species
GACGAACGCUGGCGGCGUGCCUAAUACAUGCAAGUCGAACGCAGUGGGGACGGGUGAGUAACACGUGGGUAACCUCCCAUCAGAGGGGAUAACACUUGGAAACAGGUGCUAAACCGAUACUGAUGGAUGGACCCGCGGUGCAUUAGCUAUUUGGUGAGGUAACGGCUCACCAAGGCCACGAUGCAUAGCCGACCUGAGAGGGUGAUCGGUCACACUGGGACUGAGACACGGCCCAGACUCCUACGGGAGGCAGCAGUAGGGAAUCUUCGGCAAUGGACGAAAGUCUGACCGAGCAACGCCGCGUGAGUGAAGAAGGUUUUCGGGUUGUAAAACUCUUUUAUUGGGGAGGCGGUACCUGACGAGGAAGCAACGGCUAACUACGUGCCAGCAGCCGCGGUAAUAC